AGUUGGUGGAGUGAUUUGUCUGGUUAAUUCCGUUAACGAACGAGACCUCAGCCUACUAUUGUAGUUGCAGGUUAUUUUGAUAAUCUCGACUUCUUAGAGGGACUGUCAGUUUUUAGCUGAUGGAAGUUUGAGGCAAUAACAGG
rnacentral:rRNA from 1 species